GACGAACGCUGGCGGCGUGCCUAAUACAUGCAAGUAGGACGCAGUUGCGAACGGGUGAGUAACGCGUAGGUAACUACCUAUUAGAGGGGGAUAACUAUUGGAAACGAUAGCUAAUACCGCAUACUAGUAGAUGGACCUGCGUGGUAUUAGCUAGUAGGUAGGGGAAUGGCCUACCUAGGCAACGAUACAGAGCCGAGCUGGGGGGGAGGUCGGCCAAAAUGGGAAUGGGAAACGGGCCCGAAUCCUACGGGAGGGAGGCGUAGGGGAACUUCGGACAUGGGGGGAAACCUGACCAAGCAACGCCGGGGGAGUGAAGAAGGUUUUCGGAGCGUAAAGCUCUGUUGUUAAGGGAGCGGUACUUACCCAGAAAGGGACGGCUAACUACGUGCCAGCCGCCGCGGUAAUAC
rnacentral:rRNA from 1 species